UACGUAGGGUGCAAGCGUUGUCCGGAAUUAUUGGGCGUAAAGAGCUCGUAGGCGGUCUGUCGCGUCGGCUGUGAAAACUCGGGGCUCAACCCCGAGCCUGCAGUCGAUACGGGCAGACUAGAGUUCGGUAGGGGAGACUGGAAUUCCUGGUGUAGCGGUGAAAUGCGUAGAUAUCUGGAGGAACACCGAUGGCGAAGGCAGCCCCCUGGGUCAACACUGACGCUCAUGCACGAAAGCGUGGGGAGCAAACAGG
rnacentral:rRNA from 1 species